CCUAUUACCCAUUUCCACUUCACUCUCCGCCCGGUGACGAGUCAAAUCCCCAUGAAAUCCCUAGAUCUUCGCCGCGAGUGCAGCCAGUGGGAGAGUUGGCGACAGGCCGGCGAAGGGUCCCGCAGCAGUUCGACGAGGUGAGGGCGGUGCGUGCGCGCCGGAGAAGGAGGAGAAGGUAGCGGCUACGGGGAGGGGGCGGGGGGUGGAGCUGGUGGUUCUGCGCGAGGCGGCGACGACCCCGGGGGGAGACGCGAGAUCCAGCUGCUUCGACGAACCUGAGUAGGGACAGAUUUGUUUUUUCGUUGCUGAAACAUAGGAGGAAAACAAAAGCGAAAGUGGGCAAGGGCAGCUUUUUCUUUUUUUCACCAGCACCCGUGUGACAGUUUUAAAAAAAAAUGGAGGACUCCACAGAUGAACAGAAUGACGAGGGAGCAGCAAGAGUAAUACAAGGCCAUAUGCGUCUAAGGAACAAGCAAGUUCAAGAAGGUAGAAACAGAGCAUCGCCAGCAAGGCUAGUAAAGUUAAACAAGCUUGGACCAACAACGGAAGGAUCUGAUAGAAGCUUACUUUCUGGGAGGCAUACUGAAGAUCGAGGCAACAACAAUGCCUGCAAACCUCAGCAGGUGUUAUAUGCUGAUUCUCUGCUGGUUCCCAGUCCGGGCAGAGGCAUGGGACAGGAAACGUAUAGGGCAAGUCGCAAAGGCAGACAAAAAACCCAAAGGAGGAUACAGCAAGCUUAGGGUGAGCUUGUCUGCCUCCAUCUUCUUUUUAAAAGCAAGUUUUUGUUUCUUGUCCUGUUACAGUGUUAUCCAACUAGUUCAGGCAGGUGCAACACACUAGCCUUUUUUCUGUAGUUUUGUUUUCUCUUUUUCUUAACAACACUAGCCUAAUGUGCUUUUUUUCACUCACCCACCUGAGGAAGCCAAGAUACACGAGCAACGGGCGUAUGAAUGGUCUUUUGUCGGGUACGAGGAGACCGAGAAGUUUGUUUUCUCAAAGUUGCCACCCACAUUCAAAAGAAGUGUAUGAUUGCAGCAUAUAUAUGCUACACAAUACCGACAACUGGGAUGGCACCCAUGUCCUGGAGUAUAGGCCAAAU